CCAUUCUUGGCACAUCUUUUUGGACACUAGAGGUAGAUUGUCAUCAUUUGAGACGAGAAGAACUUCUAAAACUGCCGGUUGUCGAGAGCUAUUAGGUGUGCAAGUUUCUAUCCAGCAGGCUUUUGAUGUUUUUGUCAAUUGCUUUUAGAGUAAUAUUAAUGGAAUUUUAUGAAAACUACAAGGGUAAUAGUGGGAAAAUUGUAAUGAUAAGAGUAGAAGUAGAACAAUGAUGAAUCUGUAAGGAUAAUUAUUAAUUGAAGUUUACCCUUUUAUUUUACAGGAAGACACCCCUAAUUUGUAUUCCAUAAUCAAACAUAAUUUGUAUGCCAGGUUUUUUUUU
rnacentral:lncRNA from 1 species